GAGGAUGUUAUGAGGCAGUCAACUUGCUCCUUGAUAAGGAAAAUUAUGUCACGUGGCUUCUUUUCAAGCAAUUAUCAGCAGCACCAACUUUUUCCUACUCUGUGCCUCACGUGUUCACAGGCUGACUUCUGGUUCCCAAGCAAUGAAGACCGCCAUUGCAGCAUUGAUGGCAAUGGUUGCAUUCAUCACAAUGUAAGAACCAGCUUGGAGGAGUCAAUGACUCAUUCAACCAGCAGCUAUUGAGCACUUUACAUGGCAGGCAGUGUGUAGGGCAGGAAGGAAGACAAAGUCCCCUAACUUCGUGAAUGGCACACUUUACAGAACAAAGACCAUACACAAGUGAUUUUAGAUAAGUUUCUUGAAGAACACAGAAGGCAAGAGAGCAAAGUGACAAGAGUAACGACUUCAGAUACGGCGAUCAGGGACAUACUUUCUGAAAGUUAUUUUAGCGGAGAAGCAAGCAAAUAGCCAACACAGGUGGAGGACAGAAAAACUCGAAGGCAAGGAAGUUAUCGGAUAAGGUGAGGAAAAAGGAAGUUAAAGAGAAAAGUUCAAUGAUGACGAAAAGUUAUGAAUCAAUACAUCCCUUGUGAUGAAUAUGUUGAGAUGUGUACUUGACUUUAUGUUCAUAGAUCAAGAAGGAAAAAGACUGGUGAACGUCUGUAAGAAGCACAGUCCAGUUUUCCAGAGGAUUACGUAGUGAUACUGCAAAGAUUGAACACAAAAAAGAUGAAAACCCAGAUGCUCUUAGAUGAAACAGUAAGUUGCUUUAAAAUGUUUAACUUCCAGUAUGGUAAAUAUAGGUAGAACCCACAUGAACAAAAGCUCUUUGGGUUCCUCAAUUAUUUGUGUGUAAUGGGGUACUGAGACUACUGAGUACCGCUGCCCAACCUUUAAUAAACUUGGUAUUAUUAUUAUAAAUUAUGAAG